GAUGAACGCUGGCGGCGUGCUUAACACAUGCAAGUCGAACGGAAAGGCCCAAGCUUGCUUGGGUACUCGAGUGGCGAACGGGUGAGUAACACGUGGGUGAUCUGCCCUGCACUUCGGGAUAAGCCUGGGAAACUGGGUCUAAUACCGGAUAGGACGACGGUUUGGAUGCCAUUGUGGAAAGUUUUUUCGGUGUGGGAUGAGCUCGCGGCCUAUCAGCUUGUUGUUGGGGUAUUGGCCUACCAAGGCGUCGACGGGUAGCCGGCCUGAGAGGGUGUACGGCGACAUAGCGAAAGUGGUACGGCCCAGACUCCAACGGGAGGCGGCAGUGGGGAGUAUUGCACAAUGGGCGCAAGCCGGAUGCAGCGACGCCGCGUGGGGGAUGACGGGCUUCGGGUUGUAAACUCCUUUCGCUAGGGACGAAGCAUUUUUGUGACGGUACCUGGAGAAGAAGCACCGGCUAACUACGUG
rnacentral:rRNA from 1 species